CGGACGGGUGAGUAAUGUCUGGGAAACUGCCCGAUGGAGGGGGAUAACUACUGGAAACGGUAGCUAAUACCGCAUAACGUCGCAAGACCAAAGAGGGGGACCCUAGGGCCUCUUGCCAUCGGAUGUGCCCAGAUGGGAUUAGCUAGUAGGUGGGGUAAAGGCUCACCUAGGCGACGAUCCCUAGCUGGUCUGAGAGGAUGACCAGCCACACUGGAACUGAGACACGGUCCAG
rnacentral:rRNA from 1 species